rnacentral:tRNA from 1 species
GGCGGGAUAGCUCAGAUGGUUAGAGCGCAGGACUCAUAAGCCUGAGGUCCCGAGUUCGAUCCUCGGUCCCGCUACCA